GGGCAUAUGGUGUAGCAGGUUCAUCACGCUCGCUCAGUAUGUUCCUCUAAAUCAUCGGUGAUUCUUGCGAUAGAGUCCGGUUCGAGUUCGGAUAUGCCCA